rnacentral:rRNA from 1 species
UACGUAGGGUGCAAGCGUUAAUCGGAAUUACUGGGCGGAAAGCGUGCGCAGGCGGUUGUGCAAGACCGAUGUGAAAUCCCCGGGCUUAACCUGGGAAUGGCAUUGGUGACUGCACGGCUAGAGUGUGUCAGAGGGGGGUAGAAUUCCACGUGUAGCAGUGAAAUGCGUAGAGAUGUGGAGGAAUACCGAUGGCGAAGGCAGCCCCCUGGGAUAACACUGACGCUCAUGCACGAAAGCGUGGGGAGCAAACAGG